UUUUUUAUAUUUUUAGUAGAGAUGGGGUUUCACCAUGUUGCCCUAUCUGAUCCCACUCAGCCUCUGAGGUUCUGUUAAGUUCUCACCUUCUUUAUGAAUUUUCCCCAGCCAUAAUGAUCUCUUCAACCUCUCUGAGCUUUUACUAUUUAUACUCUUUACCUAACCACUAAAUGGCUUUUGUGAAAUGUGAGAAGAUAUAAAUAUGAAUGAAUAAAAUACUGUAUGUCACAAAAUAUUUAAUCAUUUACAACUAAUAGCAUCUUCUUGUGAUGUUCCUUUUAGUGUAUUUCUAUUUUGUUUUCUCAAGGAAUUAGGGUAUAUGCUCAUUCACAUCAUCUACCAUGCCUUACUCUUUCUUGUAAACCUCAUAAAUCUUAUCACUGUUUUUUAAUGGAAGAGCUCAUUAAAUAUUUAUUAUUAGAGGCGGGGCGCAGUGGCUUAUGCCUGUAAUCCCAGCACUUUGGGAGGCCGAGGUGGGCGGAUCAUGAGGUCAGGAGUUCAAGAUCAGCUUGGCCAAGAUGGUGAAACCCCAUCUCUACUAAAAAUACAAAAAAAAAAUUAGCCGGGCAUGGUGGUGGGCGCCUGUAAUCCCAGCUACUCGGGAGGCUGAGGCGGAGAAUUGCUUAAACGCAGGAGGUGGAGGAUGCAGUGAGCCGAGAUCGCGCCACUGCACUCCAGCCUGGGCGACAGAGCGAAACUCCAUCUC
rnacentral:lncRNA from 1 species